CUUCUGCCGGACCUGACUGCUAUCGGAUUGAUACUAAGCCAUGCGAGUCAUUGUAGCAAUACAAGGCAGACGGCUCAGUAACGCGUAGUCAACCUAACCUAUGGACGGGAAUAACCUCGGGAAACUGAGAAUAAUGCCCGAUAGAACACUAUACCUGGAAUGGUUUGUGUUCCAAAUGAUUUAUCGCCGUAGGAUGGGACUGCGGCCUAUCAGUUUGUUGGUGAGGUAAUGGCCCACCAAGACUAUUACAGGUACGGGCUCUGAGAGGAGUAGCCCGGAGAUGGGUACUGAGACACGGACCCAGGCCCUAUGGGGCGCAGCAGGCGAGAAAACUUUGCAAUGUGCGAAAGCACGACAAGGUUAAUCCGAGUGGUUUCUGCUAAAGGAACCUUUUGUCGGUCCUAGAAACACCGAUGAAUAAGGGGUGGGCAAGUUCUGGUGU
rnacentral:rRNA from 1 species